AUGCGACUCUCCAUGUUUAAUGAAUUCAGCCACUUGAAGUUGCUUGCUAUUGCUGAAACAAGGUUUGCCUCAGUUGUGAUUAUGUUGCGGUGGUUUGUUUUGGUUAAGAAUGCUCUCCAAUCCAUGGUAAUUAGUCCUCAAUGGGAUAUUUACAAAGAUAAUUCUAAAGCUGCAAGUGUUGUCAAAGAGAAGAUACUCUCUGAUGUGUGGUGGAGCAAGGUGGAAUAUAUUCUCAAGUUUACCGAACCAGUACAUGAGAUGAUUCGUGUGGCGGACACAGACAACCCAUGUCUUCAUCUUGUUUAUGAGAUGUGGGAUUCCAUGAUUGAGAAAGUGAAAAAAGCAAUAGAUGAAAGGGAAGAAAGGAACUUAAAUGAUCAUGAGGAGCCCCCUUUAUUCAAGCGGGUUCACAAGGUGUUGAUUGCUCGGUGGACAAAAGGAAAUAAUCCACUCCAUUGUAUGGCCCAUUCACGCAACCCAAGAUAUUAUAGUGCCAAGUGGCUUGCAGCAGGUGAGGGUCGUGUACCCCCACACAAGGACCUUGAGGUUACAGCCACGAGGAACAAAUGCAUGAAGAAGUUUUUCCCAAUUGCAGAAGAUUUGGCAAGAAUGGGUUGGUUCUGC
rnacentral:rRNA from 1 species